rnacentral:lncRNA from 1 species
GUACAAUGUCACGAUCCAUUGUAAGGAUAAUACAUGAGGUACACAUGUCUCUUCCAGCUAUAUAUGUAUAGAAAUACACACACAUAUAUUUUCCCUACUUCUCAUCAACUUCUCCAUGUAGGAGUACAUACACCUGGUAAUACUUAUUUACUUUUUUUUUCUUGCUUUUAUUUUUUUCCACUCAUGUGUAAGAACAUAUUACAAGACUAGUAAUGUAAAAAUGGGUAUUAUGGGAAGAGACAACUGAUCAUGGUUAUAGUAAACAUAACAUAUAAAACCGGCAAAAAUAAGUUAAAACUCCAAG